CCUCUCCCUGAGGUCCAGUGGUGAUCUUUUCCGUGGGAUCCAGUGACUCCUGUAAUAUUUCUGUUCUUCCUCACUGCUCCCUUGUGAGUUGUUUAGUGACGCCAGGGCCAAAGUGACAUCAUAUUCUGGCACCCGGCAUCGCCACUGGGUGCGAGGUAUCAGUGAGGAACUAGAAGAGCAAGAAUAUCAGCUCUAUCUUGCCUCCUGCCUCCUCUUCCCACUGUUCUAUUUCAUCAGAGUAGGUACCUGCCAGGUAAGAAGGUGUCUACUCUACCUUAGUGAAUAAAUGCCCACUUUGGGGAUCUUAAAGGUAACCAGCCACUGUGACAAGUAGAACACAGGGACCCUGUUGCACUUGCGACCCCUGUAGUUCUACCCCUGGACCACUCCUUGCAGCGUCCACCCCUUCUGCCUCAGCUUCCUGGCAUCUGGGCAUGGUGCACUUUCCCAGGAUUGGCCCUGUUUAAAUGUAUACACCAAGCAUGUCAAACUUGUGGCCCGCAGGCCGCAUGCGGCCUUCAAUGAAUAUUUUUGCGGCCCGUGAGCUUGACA